rnacentral:rRNA from 1 species
AUUGAACGCUGGCGGCAGGCCUAACACAUGCAAGUCGAACGAGUGGCGGACGGGUGAGUAAUGUCUGGGAAUCUGCCUGGUGGUGGGGGAUCACUACUGGUAACGGUAGCUAAUACCGCAUAACAUCAUAUGUGCCCAGAUGGGAUUAGCUUGUUGGUGGGGUAACGGCUAACAAAGGAGACGAUCCCUAGCUGGUCUGAGAGGAUGACCAGCCAAACUGGAACUGAGACACGGUCCAGACUCCUACGGGAGGCAGCAGUGGGGAAUAUUGAACAAGUGGGACAAGCCUGAUGCAGCCAUGCCGCGUGUAUGAAGAAGGCAUUCGGGUUGUAAAGUACGUUCAGCGGGGAGGCGUUACCCGCAGAAGAAGCACCGGCUAACUCCGUGCCAGCCGCCGCGGUAAUAC